rnacentral:rRNA from 1 species
UGGCGGACGGGUGAGUAAUGUCUGGGAAACUGCCCGAUGGAGGGGGAUAACUACUGGAAACGGUAGCUAAUACCGCAUAAUGUCGCAAGACCAAAGAGGGGGACCUUCGGGCCUCUUGCCAUCGGAUGUGCCCAGAUGGGAUUAGCUAGUAGGUGGGGUAACGGCUCACCUAGGCGACGAUCCCUAGCUGGUCUGAGAGGAUGACCAGCCACACUGGAACUGAGACGCGGUCCAG